GGCCUAACACAUGCAAGUCGAGCGGAUGACGGGAGCUUGCUCCUUGAUUCAGCGGCGGACGGGUGAGUAAAGCCUAGGAAUCUGCCUGGUAGUGGGGGACAACGUUUCGAAAGGAACGCUAAUACCGCAUACGUCCUACGGGAGAAAGCAGGGGACCUUCGGGCCUUGCGCUAUCAGAUGAGCCUAGGUCGGAUUAGCUAGUUGGUGGGGUAAUGGCUCACCAAGGCGACGAUCCGUAACUGGUCUGAGAGGAUGAUCAGUCACACUGGAACUGAGACACGGUCCAGACU
rnacentral:rRNA from 1 species